GGAUUUGAUUUGAAGAGUGUAAAGUACCAGAAACGAUUCCGCUAUUCUUACAAGCCCAAUAACCCGUAUUUGGCACGAUAUAGAACCAUUUGUUUUUAGUGUGUUCCGAUAGGAAGGAAGAAUAGGAAGGGGAAGGGUUAAUUUGCGGCUGGGGAAACCUGAUGCUAAUUAAGUCUUUGGAAUGUCAUACUAGCAUUCUAUUCCAGAAGCCUUCAGAGUGGGUCAGACAUGGAGUGAGGGGAGCGAUGCACGUUUCAAAUUGUUUUCUUAUUGACGACAUUCAAAAAGGGCAUCCACACCAAAUACCAGAGCCACAGGUAAUGUUCCCUAUUGUUUUGUCUGUUGGAGUUUACUUUGUCAUAUCUGGAUUUCAGGUAGCCUACUUUAACUGUUAUAGUUAAACAUGAAAAUACAUACAGGGGGAAUCCAGACUAAACCAAAUGUAAUUUAAUCAAAUAAGCAUAUCUAUCCAAAAAUGACAUUUUUGCGCACUGGUGUCAUAAGAGCGAAAAGAUGCUGAAAUUUAAAUCCUUUUCAUUUUCUCCAGGGAGAUAAACAAAUGCAAAAUGGCAUUGUCCAGAACAGUGCUGUUGUUAUUGGUGUACUCGUUAUCACUACAUGACACAGUAAGAGGUGUCGCAGAGAUAUGCCGGGGGACUCACUGCCACGGUGGCGAGACUGGGGAUCCCAGACCGUGCGUCGGAGCCCAAUGCCUGGGGGGUAGAUCAUCCAGACCACCGCGGCAAUAUAAUCCAACAACACAGGGCAGAUCGGGACAGGCAGUCCCCAGCCAGCACCAUGUGUACCACAGCUCUCAGUCAAGAGGAGACACAACAGACACGUAUGUUGUUCAACCACAGCGCGGUAGGCACAGUGACAGCGUUAGAGAAAGCGCAAGGAUGCAAACGUCUGAAGUUUUCGGUUCAGGAUGUACUGGAGCGGAUUGCGUUACUCCUCAGAAACAGCUCCACGCUUUUAACGACACCAGAGACUGCAAAGGAAUCGAAUGUAAAUUACCACUAAGGAUACGGCCAAAGCCCCGUCCAAAAGAUUGUGUGGGAGAGGGCUGUCUGGCUGAUGAUGCCGCAGCUUCCAGCCAGCCUUCCCCUGUCCAUAUGCCGGACAGAGCUGCUCAGUUUCUGGGAGAAUUUCCAGAGUUUGGAUAUCCUGCAUCUGAACUUGGCAGUGCGCCUUUGGGAGUGCAGCUCACAUGUGACAUUAACCCAGGGGAGAAUGAGGUGCCUUCAGAGGAUGCCCUCAUCUUACACCUCCAACUGGCUAAGGGGCAGGAGAAGCUGGUAGAGGCCCUUCAGGCUCAGCAGACGAUCAUCCGCGACCUGCAGCAAAAGCUAGCCGAACAGCAGGGGGCGCUGUUGGUCCAGCAGCGGGAGAUCCUGGAGCAGCAGCGCCGCAUGUAUGAGCAGAUGGACGUGGUCAAGGCACAGUAUGGCCUGCUCUCUGACACCGUCAAACAGGUGUCCUUCCAAGGCCUCCAAGGGGAGCUCCAGAGCUACUUCGAGAGCCACCUGGCAGGCCUCCAGAGCCAGGCUCGGAGCCACCUGCAGAAGUCCUAUGCCGUUCGCAAGGACAUGCACAUGGAUGUAGAUGCUAAAUUGAUGGAUGUGGUCGGGGAAGCCCACCUUCCGCACCCCCUGCUGGGGUGUGGCGCCCCGUGUGGACCGGAGGAUUACUGUGACUUCCAGAGGGAGCCACCGCAGUGUGAGAAGUGUACCAUGUGCCCACCUGGUUUCUUCCUGGUCUCCCAGUGCUCUCCCAAUGCAGACAGAAUAUGCCAGGACAGAGACGAAUGCCUUGAAUUACCAAACCUAUGUGGACAGGGAGUGAAGUGCAUCAACACUCCAGGAGGGUUCAGGUGCCUGGGCAUGUCGGAAAGGGAGGCUGCUGCUGGAGUAUGUGGCCAUGACUACUUCUACAACCAGGAGCUUCCGGAGUGCCAGGCCUGUUCUGACUGCAAUGGAGAACCCAUUGCCAUCCCCUGUACAGCCACCAGUGAUUCUGUCUGUGGACCCUUCACAGACAACCUGAUGUCCCAGUCCUGGGGUGCCACCGUGACCUUGCCCCCAGCCAGGGCCCCCGGCAGCCACAUCUUCCCUGGCCUCCAGCUCAAUGUCCAGAGCAAAGAAGCCAGCGACUUGCUGUCCAACCAUGCCGGCCGGCUAUCCUUCCAGCAGCACGGCUUGAUGUGGCUGGACCAUAACUUUGCCCUAAAGCACAAUUGCAGGAACUUCCUCCAGGUGGGCAUGCGACUCAACAGCAGUCAAGAGGAGGAGGGCCACGACCUCAGUGGGGUCCGCAUUGAGCAGCCAGACGGGAAGUACUUCCAGGGAGUUAGUGUUAGUGGCAUCGCAGAGGUCGAGCCCAACCACAUGCUGACUCUGUUCCUGAAGAGUCCCAACCAGCAUUGCAACCAGAGCAAGGACCUUCAUGUCUACGAACUCAACGGGCCUUCCUUCAGCAUGCUCUGGCUGUCCCACGAUACUGGAGCCGUGGCCAUGACAGCACAGAUGUCAAUGUCAGCCCACUACCAGACCAACUACCGUCCAACCUUCCGCAUCACCUCCGUCUCUGACCCUUACAUGGUGGGGUUGACCCACGACAGCCGCGGGGUGCGCUUCACAGAGAGUGGUGUGGUUAAAUUUGUCCUACAGCAAGCACUGUACUCCAUGGGCCACACCUGCAUCCGAGAGGGCUUCUCUCUGGUGGCCUACGCCAACCGCAACGGGACCAACCAGGAAUUGAUGCAGGCAUUCAAGUCGGGCGUCAACUACAGGGACACAUCCAUCACCCUUUCUGGGGCUGUCAGGGUGGAUAGUGGGCACUCGCUUAGUUUCGAGAUCCUAUCCCCAUCCCAGUGUAAUAUCCGCUACUUUGGAGACAGUACUGGGAUCAGUAUACUGAGCCUUAUCUGGAUCCCCUCAGCUGUCUCCUCUGCCCUGACUGCCACAGUGUCCAGGACAGGCCUUCCCUCUGGAGUCGUCCGCAACAAAGCCCUCCUCUUCCAGCAGGUCAGCCCAGAAUCAGACCAAGUGCGCCUGGCCCAUUCUGGGGAACCCAACGGCCAAAAGAACUUUGUCUUCUGGGGGGAUGGGACAGCUAACGUGGCCCUCAACCUGAAGCUGAUCCAUUCGUGUAACGUGGUGAAGCUCACUCUGCACCGGCAGGGGGGCAGCGGGGAGAGUGGACAGGCUACACCUGUGGCCCAGCAGAUUUCUGGGCACAUGCCUGAGGGCAGCGAGUGGGCCAACGUGGGCCUGAGGGCCUCCUUCCAGGUCCAAAACGGUACAGCCAUCUAUGUGACACUGGACUGCGUACGUGGUCGUGUUAACCAGAUCACCCACAAGGGAGGCACUAACAUAUCCAUCCUCUGGGUGGCGUUGUGAUCCAAAAAGAGGACCUUUUUUGUUGUUGACUCUGUCACAUUUUGUCAACACGUUUUAAAAACAAACAUGGUUUCGCACAAUUUCAAAUUACAGAGCAAAUUUGGAACCUCACUUAACGUCACAGGUGCUUCCAAGGUAGAGGAACUUUUUUGAAAUGGAAGGUUGUGUUUUGUCUAAUGUUAACAUUUUUGUUAUGUUAAUGUUGUUUGUAUCUUAUGACUGAUACUUUGUUGAUUCAUUGAUUUUUUUGGGGGGGAUGACAAGUACUGAUGUUGCUCGAAGUACUUCGGCUGGUUGAGCAGUGACCAAUUAUUUUGUAUGAAGUAAGCUGAAUGAUGUGUGUGUGUUUAUAAUGUUUGUUAUGCUUUUUAUUAUGCUAUAUCUUAUUCCAUCAAUUUCCUGCACAUGAAUAUGAAAUGUUGCCUUUCAAUGCGUGUGUAUUAGAGUAUUUUGAUAAAAGAGCAUUUAAAUAUUUUAAAAUGUAUUAUAUUUAACUUUCACCAAGCUGUUAUUUUUAUUUCAUAUUUUCAAUAACUUAUUCUGAAUUUUAUGUCACUUAAAAUAAUAGUAGAGUAACAUUGGAAAAAAAUGUAUCGAUAUACUAUUGGAAACAAUACCUUACUUCAUAAACAGAAUUGUACUUCAAUCUAUUUUGAUAAAACGAUCACAGUUGUGUCAAUACUGUGCUUCUAGGAUACAUGUAUGUCAAACAAUAGAAUUAUGUUACAAAUAUUUAUGUGACCAUGGAACUACAGUAUAAGUGUAGUAUACAUUACAUAUACUUACGUAAAUGGUGUAGGGAAAGUUUAUCCUCAGAUUAUUAUCAUCUUUACAUUUGAUAAUUCACACAAAUCAGGUUUUAUGUAGCAACAAUAUGUUAACCGUUAACUGCAUAAUGUAUGUUGUGCUUUAGCCUCAAUACUCUUGGCCCUGUGGAAGUGCUGCCUAUGCAUAGCAUUCUUAAUUGCCUUUGUGCAUGUUCUGUCCCCCAAACAAUUAGACACAAUGAAGUGUUUCAGCGAUUUGGCAGCGAAGCGAAGCAAAGCGGUCGGUCACUGAAAUACCUCUGCUUUAUUUUCACUUCGCCAUGCAAUGCUUGGUGAUUUGUUUGACUUCACAUGUAUUGUAGAACAACAAUGAGUGUAUUCUUGUUUUUUUCAAAGCCAAAUAAAAAUUCACAAAUUUUGUAAGAGGUUGAUUCUCCCUCUUGCUUAAAAAAAUAAAAUAAAAAUGUACCAAAAAGUGAUGAGGGGGUCAGCAUCUAGGUGUGAUUUUUGGGAUGAACUGAGAUUGAUUGAGAUGUCAUUCAUGUAGAAAAUGUAUGUCCUGAUAUAGAGGCUUUGAUUAAAAAUGUGAAUGACGGCACACAGUCUCACCUCCACCAUGUGACUGAAUCACAUGAUAUGAGCCUAAUUCUUCAGUCUUUUCAACCAUGACAGCUUUAAAACUGACCCCACCAUCCUGACAACCAUCAUACAUGAAAUACCCAGUAUUUUCCACAGCUUAAAUAGAAAACUUAACAGCCAGACAUUACUCAUGUCAUGGAGUCCCAAACAUAUUGAACCUAUUUGAAAUCAACUUUUUAAGCAAGGUAGGUGUCCAAAUUGCAGAAAUAAAUCAUACAGUUGUACUAAUUAUUGGUCUUGAAUCAUUUUAGAAUCAAUCCAUCAUAUUUAACACACAGGUAAACUAUCCCUCUCCAGACAUGACUAAUAGCGGCUGAAUCGGAACGAAAACUGAUUGUGAGAAAUAAUCGAAUGUGUCUGUCUGCAGUCUGAAUUGAAAACAGGUGUGUGAGAUGGAGCGACGCUCCAGAUUUCUCAUGUUGUCGAUCAAAUGGGACCCACAGUGUAUGAGGGGAAACAUCAAAGGCAGCAGAGAGACAGAGCUGUGUGUGUAAGAGAGAGAGAGAGAGGGAAAACGAGA
ensembl:lncRNA